UGCAUGAAAUUGAAUAUAGCGGGGAAUGAUAGGGACCUUCCCAACCACUCCCAAUUUAUAAUUCCUCCCCAUACCACACCCACAGGCCGCAGUACUACGUAAGCUUUGCAGAUACUAUAUACUCCCUACUACUAUACUAGUAGUAGUAGUAGCAGCAUAUAUAUAUAUAUAUAGAAGAACUCAUCAAGUGAACAGAUCAUUCGAAAGAAGAAGAAGAGGAAAUGGGUGAUAGGAAAAGAGAGCCGUUGAUGAAGAAAUAUGAAGAAGAGUAUGAAUAUUAUGAGGAUUGUCCAGGUUGCAAAGUUGAGCAGCUUAAACGCUCCGACACCGGCGUCCCUUUUAAACCUGUCUUCUUCAUCUCCGUCGUCACUCUCUGCGGCUCUUUGCCGAUAUCAUCUCUCUUCCCUUUCCUCUAUUUUAUGGUCAGAGAUUUUCACAUUGCAGAAAGGGAGGAAGAUAUAAGUUAUUAUGCCGGAUAUUUAGGUUCUUCAUUCAUGUUGGGAAGAGCUUUGACUUCUAUUCUUUGGGGAAUAAUUGCUGAUCGUUAUGGUCGAAAGCCAGUUGUUGUGAUUGGCACAAUUACAGUGGUUAUAUUCAAUGCGCUCUUUGGCCUUAGUACCAACUUUUGGAUGGCUAUAGUUACAAGGUUCCUUAUAGGCAGUUUGUGCGGAAUAAUUGGCACAAUGCGUGCUUAUGCUUCUGAGAUUUGCCGAAAAGAAUACCAUGCUCUGGGGAUAUCUGCUGUAAGCACGGCAUGGGGGUUAGGCUUGGUGAUUGGUCCUGCUAUUGGAGGUUAUCUUGCACAGCCUGCAGAAAAGUAUCCCAGAGUAUUUUCCAAAGAAUCCAUUUUUGGGAGGUUCCCAUAUUUUUUACCUUGCCUUAUGAUAUCAGUCUUUGCAUUAGCUGCAACAGUAAUGUCCUUUUGGCUUCCGGAGACACUGCAUAAGCAUAACAGAAUAAAAAAAGAGCAAAAUAAUAUUCAUGCAGUUGCAGAAGGAGCUCAAAAUGGUUUAAAUGUGUCUGAGAGCAUGGAGCAUUCUGAACGCAGAGCCCCGAAUUCUAAACAAAACCUUCUGAAGAAUUGGCCCUUAGUGUCUUCUAUUAUUGUCUACUGUGUAUUCCAGCUCCACGAUAUUGCCUAUUUGGAGAUAUUUUCACUUUGGGCUGUCAGUCCAAGGACCCUUGGGGGUUUAAGCUUUACGACUGCUGAUGUUGGACAAGUUCUCGCCAUCACAGGCCUUGGUUUGCUACUCUUUCAGCUGCUUGUUUAUCCACUGGUGGAAAGGAUUACUGGGCCUGUCAUGAUUUCUCGGGUUGGCGCAGUUUUAAGCAUACCAUUGUUGGCAAGCUACCCAUAUAUAGCUUUAUUAACUGGUGUUGGCCUCUCCAUAGCGCUCAACUGUGCGUCUAUGUUAAAAAAUAUUCUCUCCGUAUCAAUUACAACUGGCUUACUAAUCAUGCAGAAUAGAGCUGUGUCCCAGGAGCAAAGAGGAGCUGCAAAUGGCAUUUCAAUGUCCUCAAUGUCUCUUUUCAAGACAAUUGGCCCAGCAGCCGGGGGCUCAUUAUUGUCCUGGUCACAACGGCGUCAAGACGCUGAUAUUCUGCCAGGUAAGUCGACUUAGUUUAUUGAAUUCAAGCUUGUGGCCUCACUACUUAAAAUUCAAGUGCCAAAACAUUUUACUUACAAGUUACAACAAGCGUCAGUUUCUUUUGCUCCCAUUAUAUUGCUUUUGUGAGACAAUACUAGUGUACUCUAUGGAUUAUCUGACGGCCUACUUGGAUGCACUUUAACACAAAUGUUGAGCCCGAUAAACUAAACAAAGGCAAUAUGGUGCUGUAAUACAGAACCUGAAGACAGCGAUAUUCCUAAUUCAAAACACGACUCUUUGGAUCAAGAAAAUGGAAUACAAGAGAGGCUCGUGUUAACGGAAUUACCCUGAAGUACCAAAAGUAAAAAGUUCAGGUCAGAAGUGAAAAGUCAAUCGCCAGCACAAUAUGCUGCAGAAGUACAAGUGCAUGACUUUCAAAAUAGCAUAUCACUUCAAAGAGUUGAACUAAAGCUGGUUAAAAAUUCUCCGGAUAAUUGAUUGUAAACCUUCAUCUCCAUAUCACAGAUUUAUGUACGCCAUGGAAUGGGAAAGAUGCAAUUUUUAGGUGUAUCUUAGAGAAUAAAUGAAUGUUUGAGCCUCAUGAAUUAUGUAUAGUUGCUUGGCAAGUUGGUACGUCAUAUAAUACAAAAUCAGGUGAAAAGAAGUGGAUUUGCGGAAA